CCCUACUUCUGAAGUUGAAGGUUCAUUGAUUGGGUCUCCACUUGCUCUUGUCCCUUUCGCCAUUGAUGCCAAGGAAUCGUAUGGCUCUGAUACCACUGAUAGCUGAAUUGCAUGAGUUAAUUACAACUUGAGGAUUCAAAAGCUAUUUCAGGAUCCUAUCGGAGAGGUUUCGAGAAAAUAACCACAGAUUAUGGAAGAGAAGAAAUGAUCGAAGAAGAUUGAAUGUAG
rnacentral:lncRNA from 1 species